UCUUCUGAAGUUGGUUGUCUUUUUCUCUUGCAUCUCAUUAGGUUUAGUUACCACUCCGGACACGUAAGAAUUGGAGGCAAAGAAAUGUGGAUUUGGAGGAAUCUGGAGCCUGCUUGCUCCCUGUAGGCUCAAGAUCACCCAUCCCAUAUAG
ensembl:snoRNA